UUAACCCAGUNGUAUGNNUGANNAAGAGUCCGGGGACACACGCUGGAAACGGUGGCUAAUACCGGAUGUGCCGAAAGGUGAAAGGUUUACUGCCUAAAGAUGAGCUCGCGUCUGAUUAGCUAGUAGGUGGGGUAAAAGCCUACCUAGGCGACGAUCAGUAGCUGGUCUGAGAGGAUGAUCAGCCACACUGGGACUGAGACACGGCCCAGACUCCUACGGGAGGCAGCAGUGGGGAAUUUUCCGCAAUGGGCGAAAGCCUGACGGAGCAAUACCGCGUGAGGGAGGAAGGCUCUUGGGUUGUAAACCUCUUUUCUCAGGGAAGAAAAAAAUGACGGUACCUGAGGAAUAAGCAUCGGCUAACUCCGUGCCAGCAGCCGCGGUAAUACGGAGGAUGCAAGCGUUAUCCGGAAUGAUUGGGCGUAAAGCGUCCGCAGGUGGCUGUGUAAGUCUGCUGGUAAAGAGCAAAGCUCAACUUUGUAAGAACAGUGGAAACUACACGGCUAGAGUGCCUUUCGGGGGAAAGGGAAUUUCUGGUGUUUCCGGUGAAAGGGUAAAGACCACGGAGAACACCGGUGGCCAACGCCCUUUGCUAAGCCCCCACUGAAC
rnacentral:rRNA from 1 species